ensembl:lncRNA
AUGCCCUUUGGAAACAAAAUGAAAAUGUUUACAUAGAAUACUGAGAGUUUUAAAGACUUGUAUUUUUAUUGAUGAAGCAGACACGUUUAAGUGAAAGUAGACAGUUUUGUUUCUGUAGAAACAUUUAGCACAAAACACAAGUAUGGCAUUGUCAGCGCCUUGUUCAGCCAGUUGACAUACAGCUACUAGUGCACUCCUGGGCACUUUAGACUGAGGAACAAAAUUAGGGCAUAGAUGCAUCUCCAAGUCAGCCCUUGAAUAAGUACACCUAAUUCCAUAUACAUAUGGCGCCAUCUGCUGGAUAGCAGUAAAACAUGUGCACGAGUACCUUUGAAACACAAGCUGCAAGUUAUCAUAAAUAAACAUAAAGCAUGAUUUUGACCUAAACAUGAUUUAUGGCUGCUGUUCAAAAGUCUGGGGAUGUAAUCCAAAACACUUCCUGUCAAACUUGAACGCGAAUUGCUCCUCGUGCCCCUCUAGCUGUGCGCUCAGUGUGAGAAACAAACAUAGCGGCUUGGACCGAGACGUAAACAAUUACAGCCAAUCAGCACAUAGCUUCAAGAGCCUGAGAGGCAGUGAUGUAUUUUGAGCUCAAAUAUCAACAACCUUUCACCAGAGUUGCAGACUCUAACUUUAAGGGCAGUUAGGCAGUUGUUCAGAAAAGGCCAUUUGGAAAGACCAUUUUCAUGAGGAAACCCCAUUUGACACCAUCCCACAUUAGGAAUGUUUAGCUGAGCUACAUUUAGCUCAUUUGUUAGUCCUCACCUCCAUGGUGAGGAAACAGAGAAGACAUACACUUUUUUAAACAUCAUACUAUGUGCAGAAACCUUACAGCCCUGCAGUAGCUGUACAGACAUAGAAAUGGAGGCUCCAUCAGCAGCAUGGCCAUUACCAUAGAAUACACACAAUUUAGCAUCAUGGCCAUUACCAUAGAAUACACACAAUUCAGCAUCAGAUAACUGGUUACAAUGGCCAUUACCAUAGAAUACACACAAUUCAGCAUCAGAUAACUGGUUACAAUGGUUAAGGUAAGAAAUAACAUAUCCCUAAACAUAAAAAAAAAAAAACAUUUUAAAGAUUUGUCAAGUAGGCUAAUGCAUUUCUCUUUCCCUGAGAGUCACUGGUAUGUGGCACAUACCAUAAGUGAGACACAAGACACUGAAAAUGGUCAGAAGAUACGAUAGAAUACACUCAAUUCAGCAUCAGAUAUAUGGUAAGGCACAAUGAUUAAGGUAAGACUAAAUAUAUCCCUAAACGUAAAAAAAAAAAAAAAACAUUUAAAAGAUUUGUCAAGUAAGCUAAUGCCUUUCUCUUUCCCUGAGAGUCACUGGUAUGUGGCACAUACAAUAAGUGAGACACGACACACUGAAAAUGGACAGAAGAGGGCCAAAACGUUUGUCUUUUCUCUCUACACUUCACCUGUUCUCUUGAGCAUGUUGUGUUUGAUCAGUAUGUGUUCUAUCUUGUGCUCUAGUCCAUCAGAAUCACUCCAGCAGUAGUCAGCAUGUUUGCCUUGGUGUUUUUGAAUCACUCCAGCAGUAGACAGCAUGUGUGCCUUGGUGUUUUUGAAUCACUCCAGCAGUAGACAGCAUGUUUGCCUUGGUGUUUUUGAAUCACUCCAGCAUAGACAGCAUGUUUGCCUUGGUGUUUUUGGGGUAUUUUCCCCUACUUUGGUGUGCAGGUCACUGUCUCACGUUUGAACACAUACAAGAAACCAGAGUGAGCCCUUUCCUAUGCAUUGUAUGGCGUGAGACAUGGGCGGAGAUCCCGGGGGGGACGUGUCCCCCCCUACCAUAAAGUUGUCCCCCCCAACAAUCAUUGGAAACUAUUUUUUUUUUUUUUUAAAAAUAUAGUAAUAUGAAAUAAAAAUACGACGACACAAGCGGUGCUAAUUAUAGACGUAAAACAUUGUGUUUUUUAAGUGUUGAAAAAUCAUGUUCCCCCUAUUCCUCAAAGUGGGUUGGUUCACAUGCUGUUUCCAACGGGCAGGGCUACCGGCAGCUCCGUGUUUCAGUUAAUCAGCCCAGUAGCCUACACGGUCAGACUGUUUCCUCCUCUGUCCCCUGUCGCUGCCGCUAUGAUACACGAUAUGUAAAGAGAUUUACCUCACUCUCGAAUGCAGUAAGAACAUGU